rnacentral:rRNA from 1 species
AUGGCACCAUGGAACAACUUGUGGGCUGGCAGGGCCGCCAUUGCCGGCAGCAAUGCCUACCGCGACAUGCCGGUCAUUGUCAAGAUGGAGAACCCCAACUGGUCUAUUUCAGAGAUUAACGGUGGCAGUGACAACGGCGAGGACUUCUUGGCCCGAGUAGGCGGGCAAAGGCGAAGAGUGAAGAACACGAAGCAGAUCACAUGGGUGUUUCGUCUCAAGGCCCACCGUGCCGCUGGUUGCCUAGCGUGGCUCACAUCCGCCGUGGUUGCGCUGGGCGACGCUGCACGCCGCCGUGUUGUGGCCGGCCGGACGGACUCUGACGCCACUGAUGGGGAAUGUGAGGAUGUGGCGGAACGGGCUCCCACUUCGAGGCGGUCUCGGUUCUACACGCUUAUCAAGGCUUGCCUCAUGAUGUCCAUAUUUCUCCUUGUUGUCGAGCUCGCCGCCUACUCCAACGGCAAGGGGAACCUCGUUGUCUUCAUCAAUUCUUUCAAUGCGUCGUGGAUACGCUUUCGUGCCGCCUACGUUGCCCCACCGCUCCAGCUCCUCGCCGAUGCAUGUGUGGUGCUCUUCCUAGUCCAGAGUGUCGACCGCCUCUUCCAGAGCCUCGGUUGCUUCUACAUUCUCAUCAAACGCAUCAAGCCUAAGCCUCUCUCUCCAGCACUGUCUGAUGCAGAGGACCCCAAUGUCGGCUAUUACCCCAUGGUGCUCGUACAAAUACCAAUGUGCAAUGAGAAAGAGGUGUAUCAGCAGUCGAUUGCAGCAGUCUGCAAUUUAGAUUGGCCGAGGUCCAACUUUCUUGUGCAGGUGCUGGACGACUCCGAUGACGUGGCAACGCAGGCAUUGAUCAAAGAUGAGGUGGAGAAGUGGAGGCACAGUGGUGCACACAUUGUGUACCGACAUCGUGUCCUUAGGGAGGGCUACAAGGCAGGUAACCUCAAGUCGGCGAUGAGUUGCAGUUAUGUGAAGGACUACGAGUAUGUCGCCAUCUUUGAUGCCGACUUCCAGCCAUACCCCGAUUUCUUGAAGCGCACUGUGCCGCAUUUUAAGGACAACGAGGAUCUGGGUCUUGUCCAAGCCAGAUGGUCAUUUGUGAACAAAGAUGAGAACCUAUUGACACGGUUGCAGAACAUUAACCUAUGCUUCCACUUUGAGGUGGAGCAACAGGUGAAUGGUGUGUUCAUCAACUUCUUUGGGUUCAAUGGCACAGCUGGGGUGUGGAGGAUCAAGGCUGUGGAGGACUCAGGAGGGUGGAUGGAACGAACAACGGUGGAAGACAUGGACAUUGCUGUUCGUGCACACCUAAAGGGCUGGAAGUUUGUCUUUCUGAAUGAUGUUGAGUGCCAAUGCGAAUUACCAGAGUCAUACGAGGCUUACCGCAAGCAACAACACCGGUGGCAUUCGGGGCCGAUGCAAUUGUUUAGGCUAUGCUUGCCAGAUAUCAUUAGAUGCAAGAUUGUCUUCUGGAAGAAGGCCAACCUAAUAUUCCUUUUCUUCUUGCUACGCAAGCUCAUCUUGCCUUUUUAUUCCUUCACACUCUUCUGCAUUAUCCUCCCAAUGACAAUGUUUGUGCCUGAAGCUGAGCUUCCCAAUUGGGUCGUCUGUUACAUCCCAGUGUUAAUGUCAUUCCUAAACAUUGUCCCUACACCGAAAUCGUUCCCGUUUAUCAUCCCAUACCUGCUCUUCGAGAACACCAUGUCUGUUACCAAGUUCAAUGCCAUGAUCUCUGGACUGUUCCAGCUAGGAAGUACAUAUGAGUGGGUCGUCACCAAGAAGUCUGGUCGAUCAUUGGAGGGUGAUCUCAUUUCCUUGGCGCCCAAGGGGUUGGAGCAACUAAAAUAUCGCUCAGUGCCAGCCAUCAACCUAGCAAUCAAGGAGCAAUCGAAGGCCAAAAAGGAAUCCAAGAAGUACAACCGAAUAUAUAAGAAGGAGCUUGCCAUGUCACUACUCCUCCUGUCCGCCGCCGCUCGCAGCUUACUAUCAAAGCAAGGGAUUCACUUCUAUUUCCUGUUGUUCCAAGGCAUCUCCUUUUUGCUUGUGGGACUCGAUCUCAUAGGUCAGGACAUCAAAUAA